UCAAGUGUCUUAAGGGCAUUUGGUGGAUGCCUUGGCAUGCACAGGCGAUGAAGGACGUGAUACGCUGCGAUAAGCGUCGGGGAGGUGCGAAUACCCUUUGAUCCGACGAUUUCCGAAUGGGGCAACCCACCUUAGAUGACUAGAAAAUCUGUUUUGUUGGAGCAACGCUGGAUGGGUUUACACCCAUACAGACCGCUAGGUCGUCGGCCCAUGUGGGCCGCCCCCGCGGAGCGCCAGCAUUCCUCUGGAAUGCGUACGGCGCGUGAGCGAGAACAGCACAGCUUUCUAGUCAUCAUAAAUAAGGUAUCUAACCUUGAAUACAUAGGGGUUAGAAGCGAACCUGGGGAACUGAAACAUCUAAGUACCCAGAGGAAAGGACAUCAAACGAGACUCCGCUAGUAGUGGCGAGCGAACGCGGACCAGGCCAGUGGCUUUUGUGAAUAAAGUGGAACGAGUUGGAAAACUCGACCGAAGUGGGUGAUAGUCCCGUACACGUAGAAUAGCAGAAGUCCUUGAGUAGGGCGGGACACGUGAAAUCCUGUCUGAACAUGGGUCGACCACGAUCCAAGCCUAAGUACUCGUGCAUGACCGAUAGCGAACCAGUACCGUGAGGGAAAGGUGAAAAGCACCCCGACGAGGGGAGUGAAACAGUACCUGAAACCGGAUGCCUACAAACAGUUGGAGCCCAAGGUUUGUCCUGGGUGACAGCGUACCUUUUGUAUAAUGGGUCAGCGACUUAGUGUAUCGAGCAAGCUUAAGCCGGUAGGUGUAGGCGCAGCGAAAGCGAGUCUGAACAGGGCGUUCAGUUCGAUGCAUUAGACCCGAAACCAAGUGAUCUAGCCAUGAGCAGGUUGAAGGUACGGUAACACGUACUGGAGGACCGAACCCAUAUCUGUUGCAAUAGAUCGGGAUGACUUGUGGCUAGGGGUGAAAGGCCAAUCAAACUUGGAGAUAGCUGGUUCUCCGCGAAAUCUAUUUAGGUAGAGCGUCGACCGAAUACCCCCGGGGGUAGAGCACUGGAUGGGCUAUGGGGACUCACCGUCUUACUGAUCCUAACCAAACUCCGAAUACCGGGGAGUACUAGUCGGCAGACACACGGCGGGUGCUAACGUCCGUCGUGGAGAGGGCAACAACCCUGACCACCAUCUAAGGUCCCUAAGUUAUGGCUAAGUGGGAAAGGAUGUGAGGAUCCCAAAACAACCAGGAUGUUGGCUUAGAAGCAGCCAUCAUUUAAAGAAAGCGUAACAGCUCACUGGUCUAAAUAAGGGUCUUUGCGCCGAAAAUGUACCGGGGCUCAAGCCAUACACCGAAGCUGUGGAUGCACGUAUGUGCGUGGUAGCGGAGCGUUCCGUAAGCCUGUGAAGGGACAGUCGUGAGACAUCCUGGAGGUAUCGGAAGUGAGAAUGCUGACAUGAGUAACGAUAAAGGGAGUGAGAGACUCCCUCGCCGAAAGUCCAAGGGUUCCUGCUUAAAGUUAAUCUGAGCAGGGUUAGCCGGCCCCUAAGGCGAGGCCGAAAGGCGUAGUCGAUGGGAACCACGUUAAUAUUCGUGGGCCUGCAGGUAGUGACGGAUCGCGUGUGUUGUGAGGUCUUAUUGGAUUGAUCUUGCAGCGAAGCGGUUCCAGGAAAUAGCUCCUGCAUAUAGACCGUACCCUAAACCGACACUGGUGGACUGGUAGAGAAUACCAAGGCGCUUGAGAGAACUGCGUUGAAGGAACUCGGCAAAAUGCACGCGUAACUUCGGAAGAAGCGUGACCUCACUAUGGGCAACCAUAGGGGGGUGGCACAGACCAGGGGGUAGCGACUGUUUACCAAAAACACAGGGCUCUGCGAAGUCGCAAGACGACGUAUAGGGUCUGACGCCUGCCCGGUGCUGGAAGGUUAAGAGGAGAGGUGCAAGCCUUGAAUUGAAGCCCCAGUAAACGGCGGCCGUAACUAUAACGGUCCUAAGGUAGCGAAAUUCCUUGUCGGGUAAGUUCCGACCUGCACGAAUGGCGUAACGACUUCCCCGCUGUCUCCAACGCAGACUCAGUGAAAUUGAAUUCCCCGUGAAGAUGCGGGGUUCCUGCGGUCAGACGGAAAGACCCCGUGCACCUUUACUAUAGCUUUACACUGGCAUUCGUGUCGGCAUGUGUAGGAUAGGUGGUAGGCUUUGAAGCAGGGACG
rnacentral:rRNA from 1 species